rnacentral:rRNA from 1 species
GACGAACGCUGGCGGCGUGCUUAACACAUGCAAGUCGAACGGAAAGGCCCCCACUUUUUUGGUGGGGGUGCUCGAGUGGCGAACGGGUGAGUAACACGUGGGUGAUCUGCCCUGUACUUCGGGAUAAGCUUGGGAAACUGGGUCUAAUACCGGAUAGGACCAUGGUUUAGUGUCUCAUGGUGGAAAGAUUAUUGUUUUGGUGCAGGAUGAGCUCGCGGCCUAUCAGCUUGUUGGUGGGGUAAUGGCCUACCAAGGCGUCGACGGGUAGCCGGCCUGAGAGGGUGGACGGCCACAUUGGGACUGAGAUACGGCCCAGACUCCUACGGGAGGCAGCAGUGGGGAAUAUUGCACAAUGGGCGCAAGCCUGAUGCAGCGACGCCGCGUGGGGGAUGACGGCCUUCGGGUUGUAAACUCCUUUCGUUAGGGACGAAGCCACAUUUUUUUGGGUGUGGUGACGGUACCUUUGUUAAGAAGCACCGGCUAACUACGUGCCAGCAGCCGCGGUAAUACGUAGGGUGCGAGCGUUGUCCGGAAUUACUGGGCGUAAAGAGCUCGUAGGUGGUUUGUUGCGUCGUCUGUGAAAUUCCGGGGCUUAACUUCGGGGUGGCAGGCGAUACGGGCAUAACUAGAGUGCUGUAGGGGAGACUGGAAUUCCUGGUGUAGCGGUGGAAUGCGCAGAUAUCAGGAGGAACACCGAUGGCGAAGGCAGGUCUCUGGGCAGUAACUGACGCUGAGGAGCGAAAGCAUGGGGAGCGAACAGGAUUAGAUACCCUGGUAGUCCAUGCUGUAAACGGUGGGCGUUAGGUGUGGGGACCGGUUUGGUUUCUGUGCCGUAGCUAACGCAUUAAGCGCCCCGCCUGGGGAGUACGGCCGCAAGGCUAAAACUCAAAGGAAUUGACGGGGGCCCGCACAAGCGGCGGAGCAUGUGGAUUAAUUCGAUGCAACGCGAAGAACCUUACCUGGGUUUGACAUGCACCAGACGGUUGUAGAGAUACGUACCUCCCUUUGUGGUUGGUGUGCAGGUGGUGCAUGGUUGUCGUCAGCUCGUGUCGUGAGAUGUUGGGUUAAGUCCCGCAACGAGCGCAACCCUUGUCUUAUGUUGCCAGCACGUUUGGGUGGGGACUCAUGAGAGACUGCCGGGGUUAACUCGGAGGAAGGUGGGGAUGACGUCAAAUCAUCAUGCCCUUUAUGCCCAGGGCUUCACACAUGCUACAAUGGUUAGUACAACGCGCUGCGAACCUGUGAGGGUGAGCGAAUCGCUGAAAGCUAAUCUCAGUUCGGAUUGGGGUCUGCAACUCGACCCCAUGAAGUCGGAGUCGCUAGUAAUCGCAGAUCAGCAAUGCUGCGGUGAAUACGUUCCCGGGCCU